CUGAACCAACCUCCACCCAGUCCCAGGGGAAAUGAAAGUGGCCAGACAAGACAACGCGGAAAUCUGACUCACUGUGAACUGGGGGAGGGAAGAUACAUGGAAAAAUUGACAUUGGGGUCCCCAAGACCAAAUUCUCAAUCCCUUACCCUGUAGCUCAUUCCCCAAUCCCCAAGCCUUGCUGAGGGUCAUUAUACGUUUGGUGCGGUUCACAGCACUGGGUUAGAGCCUCACCCACCACAGUGCUAUUUAUAGUUACCACCUGUACCCUCUGCCCAGAGGCCUUGGUCCUAGAACAGACCAGUGAUAGUCAUCAGUAGCUGCCAAUUGUGGCUAAGUGAGAGGAAAUCUCUCUCGACCCUAAGGAGAAGGAGCCAACCACCCGAGGAAACUGCAUCAUCGUGGUGACCAGGGUCUGGGACCUAGGAAGAAGCUGGGCAGCCCCCUCCUCGGAAGAGUUUCAAGCCCUUGCCACCUGUGGAGUUUGUCUGAAUCACAGUCUCUCCGCAGACCCCACACUAAACUCGGGAAAAGGCAAGGGGUUUGCUGCACCUGGUAUGACCCUAACCCCACACCGUCAGGGUGGGUUGACACAUCCCGAGCCAAGCCGAGGCUCUGAGGCAGCAGAUGCCUCUCUCGGCUUCCUGCAGGGGAAGGCCGACGUGCAGGGGGAAACCCCAAAGCAAGGCCUUUAGGUACAAAAGAGUGGAUUCCCGGUGCCACCGUAGACUUGACAGGAGUCUCCACGCCCGACCGGAUAGCUCCAGGGAGGGCGGGGACUCUACCUCCGGCCUCCGCUGCACCUCUAGCCUCCUCCAUCGGUCCCGCCUGCGUCCUGGCAGACUCUUACUUGUUUUGUUCCUAAGUUCGAGGGAAGGGCGUAAAGAAACUCGUCCACGAAUUCUCCCCAGGCUUCUCCGCUAGGAGAGUCAGAGCCUCUUGUCCGUCGCGAGUCAAAAGACUGCGCCCCUACCCGACACCAUCUUCCUACACGCUCUGCCCGAGUUCCUGCCAUUGGCCUUGAGGUCCUGGGAAGACGCGUCCCUGAAGCCUCAUCCUCUUAACCGACAGGGUGGCUGCCAAGCGCGCCGAAAGGGGGACUAGGGGCUCGCCCCUCUAAGACUCAAGCCAGACCGCCGUGGGGCGCCCUGGCGCUCUCCAUCCUUGCGGAGGUAAGGACAGAAGAGCGGAGCUGACGCCCCUGCAUUGGUGACCCCACCGCCGCCCCGGCCUCCGGGCUCUCCUGGCGCCUGCGGGACGGAGGCUGCGGGUGCGGCGCAUCCCGCGCUGAUCCGGACGUAGGAAGCACCUUGGAGGCCGCCAGACCCGAGGGGCGCGCCCUGCAGUAGGCGCAACCCCCACCCCCACCCCAACACCCCUCCGGAGCUCCACCACCUGGCGGAGCCGGACGCCGACCCCUCCCGCGCUCCCGCCCUGCCCCAGUCCCCCGCCCGCCGCCGGCAGGUGCCGGGAGGGCGCGGAGAGGAGCGCGAGCGGUCGGGACCUACCUGUCUA